rnacentral:rRNA from 1 species
GUCCACGCCCUCAACGAUGCAUACUAGGUAUUGGCAGUAUCGACCCUGCCAGUGCCGUUUAAAAAGCUAACGCGUUAAGUAUGCCGCCUGGGAAGUACGGUCGCAAGACUAAAACUCAAAGGAAUAGACGGGGACCCGCACAAGCGGUGGAUUAUGUGGUUUAAUUUGAUGAUAAGCAGAGAACCUUACCUGGGCUCAACUACUAGCUGCAUAGGACCAGAAAUUGACCUAGCCUUCGAGGGUGCUAGAUAGGUGCUGCAUGGUUGCCGU